GCCGACGUGGCGGAAUUGGUAGACGCACUACCUUGAGGUGGUAGCGGGGAAACCCGUUCGAGUUCGAGUCUCGACGACGGCACCA
rnacentral:tRNA from 1 species